rnacentral:snRNA from 1 species
GGAUGUUAGGAGGCCAUCUGGCUGUGACAGCCAUCACCCAUGAUCACCACGGCUGAUUCAGCUGAUUUGGCUGGCUAAGAGGUGUCCCUUUCCUCCCUCCCUGACCCCUGAUCCAUGUACAUUCCUACGUGGGUCCAAUCCAGGCAGAGAUGGACUGGUUCUGCUGAGAGUAUAAAAUAUCUGUGCUCCCCGCUAGAAUAUCCAAAAGGCUUUCAAGUACUGACCCGAAAGGCCCACGCUUUGAUUAGCUUUGAUUAGCUGAGCCACCUCAAGUGGCUACCUGCUCACU